GCUGUUGGCAUCUGGUGCUGUGGUUCCUGGAUGAAAACAGUGACUAUCGGGGCCUGGACCUACAAUACCACUUCUGCUGUCACAGUGAAGUCUCC
rnacentral:miRNA from 1 species